GUUGGGGGCAUCAGUAUUCUGAAGCGAGAGGUGAAAUUCUUGGACCUUCGGAAGACUAACAACUGCGAAAGCAUUUGCCUAGGAUGUUCUCUUUAAUCAAGAACGAAAGUUGGGGGAUCGAAGACGAUCAGAUACCGUCGUAGUCUCAACUAUAAACUAUGCCAGCUAGGGAUUGGUGGACGUUUAUUUACGACUCCAUCAGCACCUUAUGAGAAAUCAAAGCAUUUGGGUUCCGGGGGGAGUAUGGUCGCAAGGCUGAAACUUAAAGGAAUUGACGGGAGGGCACCACCAGGAGUGGAGCCUGUGGCUUGAUUUGACUCA
rnacentral:rRNA from 1 species